GCCAGAGUGGCGUAGUGGUUUGAGUAUUGGUCUAUGACUCUGGAGGCUCGGGUUCGAUUUCCCGCUUGUCC